UACGUAGGUGGCAAGCGUUAUCCGGAUUUACUGGGUGUAAAGGGCGAGUAGGCGGGAAAGAAAGUCAGGUGUGAAAUACCAGGGCUCAACCCUGGGGCUGCACUUGAAACUUCUUUUCUUGAGUGAUGGAGAGGCAGGCGGAAUUCCCGGUGUAGCGGUGGAAUGCGUAGAUAUCGGGAGGAACACCAGUGGCGAAGGCGGCCUGCUGGACAUUAACUGACGCUGAGGAGCGAAAGCGUGGGGAGCAAACAGG
rnacentral:rRNA from 1 species